rnacentral:rRNA from 1 species
GAUGAACGCUAGCGGCAGGCCUAAUACAUGCAAGUCGGACGGUAUUUGGGAGCUUGCUCCUAAUGAGAGUGGCGCACGGGUGCGUAACACGUAUGUAACCUACCUUAAUCAGGGGGAUAGCCUCUCGAAAGAGAGAUUAACACCGCAUAACAUAUUUUUAUGGCAUCGUAGAAAUAUCAAAUAUUUAUAGGAUUAAGAUGGGCAUGCGGAACAUUAGCUAGUUGGUAAGGUAACGGCUUACCAAGGCUACGAUGUUUAGGGGAUCUGAGAGGAUGACCCCCCACACUGGAACUGAGAAACGGACCAGACUCCUACGGGAGGCAGCAGUAAGGAAUAUUGGUGAAUGGGCGCAAACCUGAACCAGCCAUGCCGCGUGCAGGAAGACGGCCCUAUGGGUUGUAAACUGCUUUUGUACCGGAAUAAACCCUUUUACGUGUAGAAGGCUGAAUGUACGGUAAGAAUAAGGAUCGGCUAACUCCGUGCCAGCCGCCGCCGUAACAC